rnacentral:tmRNA from 1 species
GGGGACGAUCUGGAUUCGACGACGGUAUCGAAACUUGAGGUGCAUGUCGAGCGCGUAGUGGCCCUCGUAAAUCAAAACACUACAAACCUUUUAGUUGCUAAUGAAGACAACUACCAAGGAGCAAUGGCAGCUUAAACCCUGCUAGCUCCCGAUCACUCUGACUUGCCUGUUGGUUGGUACUGAUCGCAAAUGCAAACCGGAUCGCUUUGUCGUAUGUCUGAUGCGGGAGAGUUAAACUUUUCAGAAUCGCGUAGUUCACCCUGCCCGUUGGGUCGUUGUGCGUUAACUUAAUAACGGAUUCUAAGCAUGUAGAGCCAAGAGCGUAGGAUCGGCGGACGCGGGUUCAAUUCCCGCCGUCUCCACCA